rnacentral:rRNA from 1 species
AGAGUUUGAUUCUGGCUCAGGAUGAACGCUGGCGGCGUGCCUAACACAUGCAAGUCGAACGAAGCGCAUGCCUGGAACCCUCCGGGGGGAAGGGCAUGUGACUGAGUGGCGGACGGGUGAGUAACGCGUGGGCAACCUGCCCCGCACUGGGGGACAACAGCCGGAAACGGCUGCUAAUACCGCAUAUGCGCACAGCUUUGCAUGAAGCAGUGUGGAAAACUCCGGUGGUGCGGGAUGGGCCCGCGUCUGAUUAGCUGGUUGGCGGGGCAACGGCCCACCAAGGCGACGAUCAGUAGCCGGCCUGAGAGGGUGGACGGCCACAUUGGGACUGAGACACGGCCCAGACUCCUACGGGAGGCAGCAGUGGGGGAUAUUGCACAAUGGGGGGAACCCUGAUGCAGCGACGCCGCGUGAGCGAAGAAGUACCUCGGUAUGUAAAGCUCUAUCAGCAGGGAAGAAAAUGACGGUACCUGACUAAGAAGCCCCGGCUAAAUACGUGCCAGCAGCCGCGGUAAUACGUAUGGGGCAAGCGUUAUCCGGAUUUACUGGGUGUAAAGGGAGCGCAGGCGGCCUGCCAAGUCUGGUGUGAAAACCCGGGGCCCAACCCCGGGCCUGCAUUGGAAACUGGC